UACAGAGGUCUCAAGCGUUGUUCGGAUUCAUUGGGCGUAAAGGGUGCGUAGGCGGCGCGGUAAGUCGGGUGUGAAAUCUCGGAGCUUAACUCCGAAACUGCAUUCGAUACUGCCGUGCUUGAGGACUGGAGAGGAGACUGGAAUUUACGGUGUAGCGGUGGAAUGCGUAGAUAUCGAUAAGGAAGACCAGUGGCGAAGGCGGGUCUCCGUGGACAGUUCCUGACGCUGAGGCACGAAGGCCAGGGGAGCAAAACGGG
rnacentral:rRNA from 1 species